AUGGAGGGGAAGAAGAAGGCGAGAGUGAAGGCUGCGGCCGUCUGCGUGCUCCUCGCCGUCCUGCUGUCGUCGGCGCAGCAGCUGCCGACGGCCGACGCGGCGUCGGCGUUCUGCAAAUGCUACGUGAGCUGCUACUCCGACUGCAGGCUGAGGCACCCCCGGCUGUUCUGCAAGCCGCUCUGCGGCAUGGUGUGCGCCCUGGGCGGCCAGAUUGGCGGCGGGUGCCCGGGUGUCUGCGGGGAGGCCUCGGGCUGCGUCGUCGACGGCGAGUCAGACGCUGCUGAUGCUGAUGCGGCGGCGACCUGCGCGGAGGAUUGCCGCAAGAUCCUCAAGGCCAUGCACGGUUAG
rnacentral:rRNA from 1 species